AUCGACGAGUUUGAAAGGUAGAAGUCGAAGCUCGCGGGGCCUUCGUAGCCGCGCUGCUAGAUCUCCAAAAGGCCCAAAAGCUCGCUAUGAAGCGGGAAGAUGCCCGCAACGCCUCCCCUUCUCGGCCUUGGCCGCUGACGAGCUCGCCCGGCGAAGAGACUGCUGCGGGAGAGGAUGCAGGUGAUGACGACGACAGGUUGCUGCUCUGGGAACAGACGAGGAGAGAGAGAGAGAGAGCCAAAUCCAUUCAUUUUCUCUCUCUUCAUGCCUGGAGGAAAACAUCUGAGACAUCAGAGUAAAUACAAAUCGAUCCAAUCCGCUGGGCACAAAAUUUGAGAAGGCAAGAGUUACUCUCCUUGGAGAAUGAGAUAGUCUUCAAUGAGGCCAUAAUAGAGGAAAGGGAGAAAGAUAUCAAAGAAACACACUACGAUGUACAGCAAAUACACGAAAUUUAUCAAGAUCUCGCUGUCUUACUUCAUGACCAGCCUAUCGGUAUAGAUAACAUCGAUAAGCGUAUCGAAGAGUCAGCAGCAUCGACAGGCCGAGCUAAAGAACAACUGUACAAGGCUUCCAAAUGCACUAGAACUAGGUCUUCUUGGGUGUGCUGGGUGUUGAUAAUUUUGGUGCUGGUGCUGGUGCUGGUGCUGGUCAUCCUUCUCCUUGUUCUCAUCUUGCACCGGUUGCUUGCCCGGCAUGACAAUCCAGUACAAUCACUAGUGAAGCAAUGAUCAUUCGAGUGUCAGGCAAUAUGUAUCGCUAAUCAGUUUCUAACAUCUCAUGAUUGUAAGCUAAUUUUGAAGCAUCACAAUGUUAUCGAGUAUGCUUUCUACUAAUCUAUAGCUGAAUUCUAUCA